rnacentral:rRNA from 1 species
GAUGAACGCUGGCGGCGUGCCUAAUACAUGCAAGUCGAGCGAACGGACGAGAAGCUUGCUUUUUUGAUGUUAGCGGCGGACGGGCGAGUAACACAUGGAUAACCUACCUAUAUUACGGGGAGAAUUACGGGAAACCGGAGCUAAUACCGGAUAAUAUUUUGAACCGCAUGGUUCAAAAGAGAAAGACGGCUUUGCUGUCACUUAUAGAUGGUUCCGCGCUGCAUUAGCUAGUUGGUAAGGUAACGGCUUACCAAGGCAACGAUGCAUAGCCGACCUGAGAGGGUGAUCGGCCACACUGGAACUGAGACACGGUCCAGACUCCUACGGGAGGCAGCAGUAGGGAAUCUUCCGCAAUGGGCGCAAGCCUGACGGAGCAACGCCGCGUGAGUGAUGAAGGUCUUCGGAUCGUAAAACUCUGUUAUUAGGGAAGAACAGAUGUGUAAGUAACUGUGCACAUCUUGACGGUACCUAAUCAGAAAGCCACGGCUAACUACGUG